rnacentral:rRNA from 1 species
UACGUAGGGGGCGAGCGUUGUCCGGAUUUAUUGGGCGUAAAGAGCGUGUAGGCGGCCAGGUAGGUCGGUUGUGAAAACUGGAGGCUUAACCUUCAGACGUCGACCGAAACCAUCUGGCUAGAGUCCGGAAGAGGAGAGUGGAAUUCCUGGUGUAGCGGUGAAAUGCGCAGAUAUCAGGAAGAACACCCGUGGCGAAGGCGGCUCUCUGGGACGGUACUGACGCUGAGGCACGAAAGCGUGGGGAGCAAACAGG